CGGUAGAGAAAGGAUGAAGCAGUGAUUUUUAAGCAGUAGAAGCUUGUCUCUCCCAAACUAGUUUCAUUGUAGGAUUAGAGAUUAAAAAAAUAAAGGCAUUA